rnacentral:misc_RNA from 1 species
GGGGAAUGGGAGUGAAAACUCCAACUGAAUCUGUUGGAUGAUAAAUAUGCUUUUAGCUAGUGUACUUAACCAAGCUAAAAUUGCUAAGUUUGAGUUCAAAUUUUAAUGAACAAUUAAAAACAUGCAUAUAAUCCUCAUUAAAUUUGCUCCAAUGUCAUCCCAUCUAGGUAGCCCCGCGCAUUAUAUAUUUGAGCGAAUGAUAUACAAAUUCCGCAAUUAUCCCACGAUUCCUAAGCAUUUCCUUACUGUCGACAUGGAACACCUGCUCGCUUCCUUCCUAUUUCCUUUCACAAUUCUCCUCUUUAUCUUCAUGGUGAUGUUGAGGAUAUGGAGGAAAUCGAAAACCUGCAACUCGACUCUUAAUUUACCACCAGGACCAUGGAAGCUGCCUUUAAUAGGGAGCUUGCACUGUUUAGCUGGGUCAGUGCCACCUCAUCACAUGCUAAGAGACUUGGCCAUGAAAUAUGGACCUCUCAUGCACCUUCAACUUGGUGAAGUUACCAAUAUUGUCAUUUCUUCGCCUGAAACUGCUAAAGAAGUGAUGAAAACCCAUGAUAUCAUAUUUUCUCAGAGACCCUUUAUCCCUUCAGCAAGUCUUUGAGUUAUAAUUCAACAGACAUCGCAUUUUCUCGAUAUGGAGACUAUUGGAGACAGUUGCGAAAGAUUUGCUCGUCUGAGCUACUAACUGCGAGUCGUGUGAGGUCUUUCAGAUCAAUUAGGGAAGAAAAGACUUCAAAAUUCGUUAGAUUCAUUUCUUCUAGGGCUGGAUCCCCAAUAAACUUUAGCAGGAUGAUGGAUUCUUUGACCUUUAGCAUCAUUUCAAGAGCAGCCUUUGGUAAGAGAUGGAAGGGAGAAGAAGCAUUCGUGCCCACUAUCAAGAAACUUUGGGAGAUGUUAAUCUUGCUGAUUUGCACCCUUCCAUCAAAUUCCUCCAAGUGAUCUCGGGGAUGAAGCCCAGACUAAAGAGACUUCAUCAAACGGUAGAUAAGAUAAUCGAGAACAUCGCGAACGAACAUAGAACCAUAAAGGUUAAGGCGAAGUCUGUUGCUGUAGGUGAAGAAGAGGAUCUUGUAGAUGCUCUUUUGAAUAUUCAGGAUAAAGGAGAUCUCGAAUUCCCUCUAACGAUGGAGAAUAUCAAAGCAGUCAUUUUGGUAAGAUUUAUAGGAUAUAUACUCAUAGAUUUCAAUUCAUUACUGACAGAAAAUUAUGUAACGUUGAAUUUCAGGGUAUAUUUAUUGGUGGUAGCGACACAUCUUCUACACCUGUAGAAUGGGCAAUGUCAGAAAUGCUAAGAAACCCAAGAGUGAUGAUAAAGGCACAAGAAGAGGUGAGGCGAAAUUUUUAUGCAAAAGGAAACAUUGACGAAGCAGGCCUCCAACAACUUAAUUACUUAAAAUUGGUUAUCAAAGAAACUCUGAGAUUAUAUCCUCCUGUUCUAUUGUUAGUUCCAAGGGAAUGCAGAGAGAGUUGUAUCAUUAAUGGGUAUCACAUACCUGAAAAACCCAAAGUCAUUGUGAAUGAGUGGGCGAUUGGAAGGGAUCCCAAUUACUGGUCUGAAGCUGAAAGAUUUUAUCCAGAGAGAUUUCUUGAUAAUUCAAUUGAUUAUAAGGGUACCAACUUUGAAUUUAUCCCAUUUGGUGCAGGAAGGAGGAUGUGUCCAGGAAUAUUAUUUGGCAUGGCCAAUGUUGAGCUUCCACUUGCACAAUUUCUAUACCAUUUUGAUUGGGAACUCCCUUGUGGGUUGAAGCCAGAAAAUCUUGACAUGACUGAAGCUUUAAACAUAACGAUGAGAAGGAGAAAUCCUCUCUACGCGAUUCCCAUUCCAUACCUACCGCCACCUGUCAAGUAAAACCUCAAUGGAGAGAUCCCCUCCCUGUAUAUUUUACUUUCUUACCAGCCAAUAAUAAGUAGAUUAAUGUUUAUUUAAUGUUUUACCAUGUUAUUGUUAUGAGUUAUUCUUAAUUUUGUUUUUUGCUUCUCCUCUAUGUUGAGUGAGAAUCGAAUGUAAAUAGAUUAACUUGGCUGGUUCUUUUAUUAUCUUAUUGAUUGGGUUUGUAACGAGAAAAUAUGGAUUUAGCAAUAAUUAUUAUACCGUCAAAAAUAGAAUUAC